rnacentral:tRNA from 1 species
UCCCUGGUGGUCUAGUGGUUAAGGAUUCGGCAUUGUCACUGCUGUGGCAUAGGUUUGACUUCUCACCUGGGAA